GGGCUCAGAUCCGUGGGGUCCCUGUGUGGGGCUCGGAUCCGUGGGGCUCAGAUCCAUGGGGUCCCCGUGGGGCUCAGAUCCGUGGGGCUCAGAUCCAUGGGGUCCCUGUGGGGCUCAGAUCCGUGGGGCUCGGAUCCGUGGGGUCCCCAUGUGGGGCUCGGAUCCGUGGGGUCCCCAUGUGGGGCUGGGAUCCGUGGGGCUGGGAUCCGUGGGGCUGAGAUCCGUGUGUUGCGGUUGCAGUCCCGCAGGGGGUGCUCCCCCCGUUCCCCCCGGGGCUGUUCCCGCUGUGGCCGCCCAUGGCUCCGUUCCCCCCGGUCCCCGGCGCUCAGGGACCCCCCAGCCCCGAGGGCUCCGCUGCCGCCGCCCCCCCGUCAGCUUCCGCCAGAACCGGGGACGGCUCCGCUUCGGGCUCGGACGGCAGCACCGCGCCGGGAUUCCCCCUGCCCCCCCCGUGGCUGGGGAUGCCCUGGCCGCCCCUCUUCGGUGAGGGGGGGGGGGGGGAUUGGGGGCGAUCCAGGGGGGGUUGUGUCCCCGUUAUUCACCCCCAAAUCCUGCAGGGUUCUGGGGUUCGGUUUUGGGGUUCAUCCGUGGGAUUUCUCCCCGUUAUUCACCCCCAAAUCCUGCAGGGUGUUGGGGUUCAUCCGUGGGAAUUCUCCCCAUUAUUCAGCCCCAAAUCCUGCAGGGUUCUGGGGUUCGGUUUUGGGGCUCAUCCGUGGGAUUUCUCCCCAUUAUUCACCCCCAAAUCCUGCAGGGUUUUGGGGUUCAUCCAUGGGAUUUCUACCCAAUAUUGCCCCUAAAUCCUGCAGGGUUUUAGGGUUCAUCCAUGGGAUUUCUCCCCAUUAUUCACCCCCAAAUCCUGCAGGGUUCUGGGGUUUGGUUUUGGGGUUCAUCUGUGGGAUUUCUCCCCAUUAUUCCCCCCCCAAAUCCUGCAGGGUUUUGGGGUUCAUCCAUGGGAUUUCUCCCCCAAACCCCCCAGGAUUCUGCGAUUUCCCCCCAAAACCCCCCA
ensembl:lncRNA